UGGGGGCUCCCCUUGUUCUACAUUAUGGUGCAUGGGUUGCUAAAGAAUGUGGGUAUUAAUAUAUCUAGGGCUUAAUUAGUGGUGGAAUCUGGGAUAGCAAUUCUUUUGGUUGGCAUCUUCCUCUUUUCCACCUCCUCUUUCUUCUUAAAAAUGCAUAUUAAGGCCCUUAUUUGGUGGCUUCAAAAUCAUUGAGACUGAAUUAAGAAAAAUAGUGCCUAAAUUUGUAAAUGCUUAGUAUUGUUACUUGCUGCAAAUAUGUAGAGUUUUCUGUUAUUUGUUGCAGUAUCCUGUGUUUUCAUACACUGAAGUCAAAAAACACCCAAUAAAUAAAUAUUUAACCCCAAAAUUGAUCUUUCCAUUUAUCUGUCUAUUCAUCCAUCACCUCCUCCCUCAAUGCUGCCACCUACCCACUCAUCCAUAAAUUUCUCCCUCCCCUUUCUCCUCUAUUUUCACCCUUUCUCUGCCUACUUAUAUAUUCCUCCAUCUCCUUUCCUGAUUCCUUCUAUCCCUUGCUCCCUGCAUCCAUCCCUAUUUCCUUCCUUCUUCCCUCACUUCUUCCUUCCUCCUUCCCUCUCUUGUUCCAUUCAUGCAUAUGUAUUCAUCCAUUCAUCCAUCCACUCAUAUAUCCAUCCAUCCUUUUUUCCCUUCAUCCUUCCCUCUUUUUCUUCAUCCAUACAUCCAUUCAUACAUACAUACAUACUUUCUAUCUAUACAUCUUGAUAAUUAUCUACCUGUACUGUCUAUGAACAUAUAAAUACAUGAAGCAUUUUUAUGUGAACAUGGAAAGGAAGCACACAUUAGUAAAGAGCAGGGCACCAGAGCUGGGUUGUCUGGAUUUAAGUCCUGGCAUUGCUCCUCACUACCUUGGUGGUUUUGGAAAUUUCUCACCCACCUUUUGCUUCAGUUUCCACAAUUUUGGAUAUGGAGAUAAUAUUACCUACUCCAUAGAUAUUAUUUUCAAUGGAUUAAGGCUUAAUAGCUCUAAAAUACAUAGAAUGGUGCCAGGCUCAUAGUGUGCGUGAUUACUUUUGCUAAAAUACUGAUUUAAAAAUCAGGUCUUGAGAAGUCUACAUCCAUGGCAUGGUGACAACCUGUCUGU
rnacentral:lncRNA from 1 species